CCUACGGGAGGCAGCAGUGGGGAAUAUUGCACAAUGGGCGCAAGCCUGAUGCAGCCAUGCCGCGUGGAUGAAGAAGGCCUUCGGGUUGUAAAGUACCUUUCAUUGGAGGAGGAAGGCCAUCAGGUUAAUAACCUCUUCGGAUUGACGUUACCAAAAAGUAAGCACGGCAACCGU
rnacentral:rRNA from 1 species